rnacentral:lncRNA from 1 species
AAAAAGGAGAGGAAAGGGAGGAGAGAAUUGAGAGAAAUAAUUUUUUUCUUCUGGUACAUUACGGAAAAUUUCAACUCGUGUCAUUCUUUCUUUUGAAAAAAUCCAGCCAUUCACCAUCCCAAAAUACAACAAAAAUACUUCACAUCCCUUUUUACACGCCAAAUGGUGGAGUCAAUAGUCGAGGUGAGGUUUCGUUGGAGCUCUGUUCACUAGCUUUGAUGUUCUUCUUUACUUAUGUUUGUUCGGCGUUCGUAUGAGUUAUUGUACCUGUUCAGGAGACUCAUUUAAUUGAAAAUUUUGCAUUAAAGGUCUAUUCCUUCUUCUGUUCUUUUUAUCUUAUUUCAUGUGACUAAACUUUUAUGCCUUUAAACUUUUUAUAAAUAAUAAUGUAAAUUAGUCAUUAAAUUCUACAUGCUAAAUCAUGUUUAUGAAAAUAUGGUAUUCAAAUAAAAGGUGACUUAAAACACUCAAAAAUCAAAUUUCAAGUAGCGACUCCGAAUAAUAAAUAACCCAACUUCAAAAUAUCAUUUUACUUGAAAAAACUCUUUAACCCACAAUUCAUAAUAGCACACAUAUAUUUUUUGGGAUAAAAAGGGGUGUGAUAGAUCAGCCAUGAACACCUAAUUUUUGACCAUAUUUAAUCUUUGUCACCUUCUUCUAUGUAAAUAUCUUUAGGGUUUUAAUCUAAAAAUUUAUACUUUUAAUUAUAGGAUAAAAAUACAAAAAUUUAAAAGGUCAAUUAUUACUAUUAAUAUUAUUUUUAUGUAUAUAUUUAUUUCUAAAUAAUAAAAUAAAAUCAAAAAAUUAAAUUUCAGGUGGGAUUAAAAUAAUAGGAAAAGGGGAAGUAUGGAGUUAAAAAAAUAAAAGUAAAAGUAGGUGGAAUUCUCUUUAAAAAGUAAAAGAAAGUGGAAAAUUAAACAAAAAACGUAAAGAAAUGUGGAAAUUUAAAAAUGAAAAGGAAAGAAAGUUGGAAUUAAAAAAUAAAAGUAAAGACAGCUGAUUUUUUUUAAAAUGUAAAAUAAAGUAGAAUUUUAAAAUAAAAGUAAAACAAAGUGGAUUUUUUCUUAAAGAAAAGUAAAAUAAGUGGAAAAUAAAAAAAAGAAAAAUUAAAAAAAAUGGGGUUUAAAUAAAAUAAAAGUAACUAAAGUUGGAAUUAAAAAAUAAAAGUAAAGAAAGGUGGGAAUUUAUUUAUUUAAAAAAAAGAAAAUGGGAAAUGGAAUUUCUUUUAGUUUAAAAAUAAUAAAUUAAUAAAAUAAUUUUUUAAAAUCUGAAAAAUGUCUAAAUUUUUUGCUAUAUAUAGAAGAGAAAAAUUAAUAAGAAGAAGAAAAAAAUAAUAAAAUAGAGAAAAGGGAGGAGAGAAUUGAGAGGAACAAAUUUCUUCUUCUACUCUACGAAGAAUUUCUACUCGUUUCUUUCAAAAAAAUCCAACAUUCACCACCCCAAAACCUAACAAAAAUACUUCCGAACAUCCCUUUUUACAUACCAAAUAGUGGAAUCAAUAGUCGAGGUCAAGGGAUGGUUGGCAUGUAAAAAAUGAUGUUUGAAGUAUUUUUGUUGGAUUUUGGGAUGGUGAUUGCUGGAUUUUUCAAAAGAAAGAGGAAGAAAAAAUAACACGAGUAGAAAUUGUUUAGAGUAGAAGAAGAAAAAAAUUUUGUUUCUCUCAAUUCUCUCCUUUUUUCUCCUCAUCUUCUUAAAUUCUCUCUUUUAUUUAUAGGGAAACAAAUCGAAAAUUUUCAGAUUUUUUUUAAAAAUUAUUUUAUUAUUUAUUUUUAAUUUAAAAAAUGUCACUUCCCAUUUUUCUUUUUUUUUUUGAAACUAAAUAAAUCCCCAUCUUUCUUUACUUUUAUUUUUUUAAUUCCAACUUUAAUUACUUUUAUUUUAUUUAAACCCCACUUUUCUUACUAUUUUUUAAUUUCCACUUAUUUUACUUUUCUUUGAAAACAAUCCACUUUCUUUUACUUUUUGUUUUUUAAUUUUCAGCUACAUUUACUUUUAUUUUUUAAUUUUAACUUUCUUUUACUUUUCAUUUAAAAAUUAAAAGUAAAAGAAAGUUGGAAUUAAAAAAUAAAAUUAAAGGUAGCUAAAAUUAAAAAAAACAGAAAGAAAUUUGGAAUCGACUCCUAAGCUGGUUGGGCUAUAAACAUUCCAUUUCUGACUGGAAGGAGGAACGUGAGUGGGUUAGUAAGCUGGCAAGAAGUAGAACUGGAGUAGCAGAAAUCACUUGUCUAUCUAUUUAGGAUCCUGGUGACAGUGAUAUGGAGAGAGCGUAAUAAAAUGAGAUUCCAGGGAGAAAAUUUGCUGAGCGAUAAUGUUUGUAAGGAAAUAGUAGUCUAUCUCCACUCAAGAGGGGCUUCAACUCAUAAAUGGAGGGCAGUUCUACAAAGUUUAAACCAUUACUCCUAGGCUACUCUUGGGACAAAAUUGUCACAUUUAUUAUCAAAUAGUGAUAUUGUAAUUCUUUUUUAGAGUGAUAAUAGGUGUAGUGACUGUAUAGUAUAUUAGAAUAGAUUGUCAGCAUCUAUAUUUGUACUUGUAUAUUUUUUUGACGGAAUCGAAUAGAAACUAUAUUUAUUCAAAAAAUAAAUAACAUGAAAGUUAAUUUACCGCAGCCAUCUACCACUUUUGUGUGAGGCAGAAGAAAGUGAACGAAUCUGUUUAUUAAAAAAAAUUAAUUAAAGUUGGAAUUUAAAAUAAAAUUAAUGAAAGGUGGGGAUUUAUUUAUUUUAAAAAAACAAAAAUGGAAAGUGGGAUUUCUUUUAAUUAAAAGAAGGAGGACGAAAGAACGACACGAGUAAAAAUUCUUCUAGAAUAGAAGAAGAAAAAAUUUGUUUCUCUCCAUUCUCUCCUCACUUUUCUCCCCUUUUUCUCCUCUUCUUCUUAAAUUCUAUCUUCUAUUUAUAGAAAAAAAUUCAAAAUUUUUCAGUUUUUAAAAAUUAUUUAUUAUUUUAAUUAAAAGAAAUCCCACUUCCCAUUUUCCUUUUUUUAUUAAAAACUAAAAUAAAUCCCCACUUUUCUUUACUUUUAUUUUUUAAAUUCCAACUUUAACUACUUUUAUUUUAUUUAAACCCCACAUUUUUAUUUUCCUCUUACUUUACUUUUCUUUUAAAAAAAAUCCACUUUCUUUUACUUUUUGUUUUUUAAUUUUCAGAUACCUUUACUUUUAUUGUUUAAUUCCAACUUUCUUUCACUUUUCAUUUUUAAAUUUCCACAUUACUUUACAUUUAUUUUUGAAGUCCAACACUUUCUUUUACUUUCUUAAAGAGAAUUCACCUACUUUUACUUAUAUUUUUUUAACUGCGUAAGUCUUUUCCUAUUAUUUUAAUCCCACCAGAAAUUAAUUUUUUUUUAAUUUUUCGGAUUUUACUUUAUAAUUUUAAAAUAAAUAUAAAAAAUUAAUUUUAAUAUUUUUUUUUGGUAAUUAAAGUUUUUUCAUUAAUCACCAAUGAAGUUGCAUUACAAACCACGGUCAAGCUUCAACUCGGCUGACUGUCUGAGAGCUAACAUAAUAACUACAGUUACUGUCCUAACUAUCUAACUUCUACUAUAUUUAAGGUGUUGCAAUUGUUGUCUAAUUCUUGGGGUGCCUCUAACAUUACAGUUAUACACUAUGUCUCUCAGUAGAGUAGUAUUACAUCGAAAAGUCUUGUUGAAUACUCUUGCAUUCCUUUCCAUCCAGAUAGCAUAUGCAACUUCAGCUGUGACCAUUUUGAAAAUGGCUGCAUGACAUGUUCGUCCCUUGGCUUUGGUAAUCAACCAUUGUACUUUCUGGUUCCAACUGUCUGUGACCAUUUUAAAAAUGGUUGCACGACCUGUUCGUCCCUUGGCUUUGGUAAUCAACCGUUGUACUUUCUGGUUCCAACUGAUACUAGGUAGGUACUGUUUCUGUAGCCAAUUUAUUACUCUUCCCCAUAGAUCCACAGUGACAGGGCAUUCCGUGAGCAGAUGAUCUCUUGUUUCANNNNNNNNNNNNNNNNNNNNNNNNNNNNNNNNNNNNNNNNNNNNNNNNNNNNNNNNNNNNNNNNNNNNNNNNNNNNNNNNNNNNNNNNNNNNNNNNNNNNNNNNNNNNNNNNNNNNNNNNNNNNNNNNNNNNNNNNNNNNNNNNNNNNNNNNNNNNNNNNNNNNNNNNNNNNNACACUGCUUUUGGUCUGGCUUGGUUUUGUAUGAUUAAGUUCUUCCAUGGGACUGUUAGCACUUCUUGCAACUGCGACUGGUACAACUGUUUAGUAGUGCAUUUCUGAUGUUUCCAGUUCUGGAUCCUUUGUAGAGUGUCUCUAGAUAAUUAAUUUUAAUAUUAAUAAUUGACCUUUUAAAUUAUUGUAUUUUUCAAUAUAAUUAAAAGUGUAACAAAAUUAAAAAUUGUAGAUUAAACCCCUAAAGAUAUUUAUAUAGAAAAAUGUGGUAAAGGUUAAAUAUGUUAAAAAAUUAGGUGCUCACGAAGAUAAACUAAUGUAUUUGGAACUCUUGAAAUAAUAAUAAAUUUAUCAUGCCCCAUCCCCGAUAAUUUUGAAAAAUUAACCUCAACAAUGUGAACUAUUAAAAUUUCAAUAUUUUUAUUAGCAGAGAGCAUUCAGAGUGAGUUUAGGAUAAUAUUAACUUUUAUUUGGUAUUAGAUAAACGUGCAAAAAAUGGAAUUUAGACUUAAAUCAAUAAGAAUCCAUGAACCCUUUUUUAUACAAGAAGAGAUUUAUUUGGCUUGUCUAUAAUUUAUAAUUGAGUUGGUAGGGUAUAAACAAUUUUUUUUUUGGUAUAAUGACACUAUGAACAUAAAGUUUACAAAGAGAUUUUACAUGAGAUACAACUACAUAGCAUAUUUGUAUCUUAUAUAAUAAAAUGUUCUAACGAUAAACAAUAUAGAACUAAUUAUAUUAAAUUCAUUCAGAAAAUGUUGAAUUCAACUAUAUAUCGUAUAAAUCUACUAAUAUUUAUUUUCAACAUUUAAACAUAUAUUGUGUACAUAUAUAUAUGUAAAAGGGUAGUUAUGGUAGGAAGGAGUAGCGGGGAGGUAAAGAAUAACGGAAUCUGGGACUAUUGUCCAUAUCAAGCUAUAUAGAGAGGAUUAAUAUGUAAAUAUUACUUGGUAAAUAUAAUUGUUUAGUUGACAAUAUAUAUAUAUAUCAAAAAAUUAAAUUUCAGGUGGGAUAGAACUACAUUAUUUAGGCUAAAUAUUUUUAUUUUUUCAAAAAUAAUAAAAUUUUAGUUAAAUUUUUUUUACUUUGACCUAAAAAUAAAGAUUUAUAUAUUGAAAUAAAUACUUAAAUCAUCUAAAAAGUAAUAAAAGAUACAUAGUUUAAAAUUAAUUUUUUUUGGUAAUUAAAGUUUUUAUUAAUCACCGAUGAAAUAGUAUUACAAACCAUAGUCUAGCUUAUACGCAGCUGACUAUCUCUAUAACAUCAUUAGACUACAUAUAAAUCCAAAAUAAUUCAUAACAUUACUAAAGUCGGAAAUGUUGCAACUGUUUUCUAGUUUUAGGGGUUCCUCUAACAUUACAAAUGUAUACUAUCUCCCUCAGCAGUUCUGCACAACCACAUACAACAUUGUUGAAGAUUCGCGCGUUCCUUUCCAUCCAGACAGCGUAUGCAACUUCAGCAAC